CUUUGGCUUGCCAUAUAUUAUCUUCCCAUUUACGUAGAUAUGCCGACGUCGGUGGAAGCUAAUUAGACCGUUUCGGUUUACGCCAUGCGUACGCGCUGGGCAGUAUUCAAGGCUUUAAAAUAUCCCCAAAGAUAUUUUCUUCAUAAAUCCCGUACGCAGAGCGGUUUUAAGGAGUAUAGCUACAUUGUAUUUGUGGAAUUGUGGAACGGCCCUACGAUAAUCAAACGAUAUAUACGGUAGUCGGGUAGUCACGGUGACACAAUGACUAUGUGACGUCAGUCAUCACGUGAGACAUUUAAAUGCUUCAAAUCCCGUUCCCCUUGUAGAGGGAGGGGCAUUGUCGGCCUAAAGAUACAUUUGUAACAAAGACGUGAAAACGCAAUAUAUAAUGGGCAAAACAAACCGCGUAUUGAUGACAUAAUGAAAAUGUUUCUUAAACUAGUAUCCCAGGAUUAUGAUGGGCUGGUCCCGGAUUGUUUAGAUAAUCUCUACCUUGGCGUUUGCUCGGCUUACGAUUUUACAGCUUAAUAUUCUUACCACGGGAUGAGUCCGGGCCUGUUGUAUUCAGACAGAUUAUUGCAUAUGGUUCUACAGAGGCCAUGGCCGUCAACAGCUCAGCGCAUAGUAGAAUCCUUUGUUUCCGGACAUUUCAUCCUAGGACAUUUUAAACUUCGACACCGGCCCAGUCCCUGUUUGUGGCCAACAAUGUGGUUUCCCGCUAAACAAUGCCGACAUGCGACAUUCCGUGGGGCACCAAUUGUAAAAUUGAAUUCGCAUAAGAGAUUAGUACGAAAUCCAGGGGCUUCUAUACAAGACACUUCUGUCUUUAGCUAUACAUCCCUGCGGUAUAUCUGUGAGUAUUACUUGAUAUUACCCACCAUGCAGAUAAUGUUUCGUCAGAACGUGUCCAAAUAUCACUCUGUAACUUUACAUGUGCCACAAGAAGAGUCGGUGCCUGCAGAAGCCGGAAGCCAGGAACUAUUCGAUGAAGAAGUUGCUGUUCGGUCACCUUCUCCCCGCCAAGCAGACAUCGAAAUGUAGUGGUGCCCAGCACAAGUUCAAGAGCAGAUGGACGUUCUGGGCAGUUGGCCGAAAUCCUCAAAGAGUUGGCGUACUUAAGAAAGGCUUCUGACCACCAGAAGGCGACCAAUAACAAAAUGGCUAAUCAGAUGGAUGCCAUGACAAGAGAAAUCGCAUCUCUGAAGAAGAUGUUAUCAAAAGCAUUCAAAGUAACCGAGUCAGUUAUAAUGGAACCAUAUGACUGUUGGCUAAAAAAGUCAUUUUCCUUGACGUAUGCAUGCCAGACAACAGCCAAUUGCUAGCAGAAAGUCAAGUUUUGAAUUACAAUAGUUAGGAACCAUAAACUGAUGAUCCCACGCCAUGCAAACAUUUCAAAUCAUGCUAGGUGUUCAGUGGUAGGCCUCAUAAUCAAGGACAACAAUCACAACCAAUCAGAAUAACAACUCGUUUAGCCCUCUUUGUAAAGCAUGGCAAUGAUAAGGCCAUGAUGAUCUUUCUGUUACCACCACGGCCACGGUGUCCGAAGGCCUGAUCCAAGCCUAGCUAUUGACUGAAGUCAUUCUAAAUACUAGUUGACGGAACAUGUGUACUGCAUAGUCACUAGUGUUUUAAAUAUGAUUCACCUUUCACCAUGUCGUUUCUCUUUCAAGGAUAAAAUAAAAAACAUCGCUGCUGAAUACGCACGGCUUUGAUUCUACAGAUCCGCACAUUAUCCAGGCGUGCUACAGUCACAAGAAACAUAGGUUUACUCAGUACAGGAGUGACCUGAAGAGAAAGGUAAUUCCUCUAAUUUGUAUGCAUCUGCCUGGGUUCAUCCAGAAUACAGUUACCUUGUCUUUCGGCCAAGCUAUAGCAAUCGAAAUCAAUAAACGAAAUUCACACAGUAUGGAACAUACACAUGAUUAACAUUGAGUGUUCACCCCGGGGUGUUCACUAAACGAUCUUAAGUUAUUAAUUAACGGCCCCAAAACUUAUGAGAAUCAAUUAUUAGAGUCCCAGGGUAACUUACAUAUAGGUCGCUAUUAGCCUAUUAGCAGCAGUGUAUUAAGUGCUUAAGUCGCUUGACCAGUCUUAUGUAACCUGGUACAAUCACAUGCACAUCAACAUCAACAUUUCCACUCAACUGACAAUAUACUGCUCAUCGUGAUUAUGUUGAAUAGGAUUAUCUGAUGAGUGCUGUCUGCGUUGUUGGGCUGGAGUUUUGAUAUUAUUCACCCUGCCCAUUAACAUAAAUCUAAACUUAUCCGAUAUAAACAUAUCUGAUCUAGAUUGAUCUGACCUGUUCUGCUUGAUAGAUUUACUGUAAGUGUAUAUUUCUAUUCAACAGCUAAAUGGAAACCCCAAGGGAGUACAUCCCAUGGCCAUGCCGGUCGGUACAUGAUACAUGGUUCAUCCAACAGUGUGAUAUGUGCUUGUCAUGGACCUGCCAUAGAGUUACGAUAUAUGUUUCAUUACAUGUAUUCAGUUAGCAGCGAACAUGUAUCUGCAGAUUGCAAGUGCACCCCUCAUGUACAUGGAGAUGGCCAAAAUUAGACUAUUCAUCACUACUUUAUUUUGACCAGACAAACAGCCAUACCCUGUGAUAUUGCAUUCUAAUUAAUCGCUCGCCAUUUGCAUUGCAGCGCUCAUUUGCCUACAGCGUCAAGCUGUUCCGUCGAGAUGAGGGCCCAGCAGAGCCAGAGGAGAAAGACUUUUGGCGUGGCUGUACGAAUUACAGGUGCCUAGCUGUGGGUAGCCCCGACAGCUGGGCCAAGCUGUUGGAGAUAGACGACAAGCGGGUGGGGAAAGCCAUUGAUUGUAACAUGUAAUUAUGGGGGUUAAUUGAAUAGAAGGGAUUAAUUGUAAAUAAUUGUAAAGCGGGUGGGGAAUCCGUUGAUUGUAACAUGUUAAUACGGGGGUUAAUUGUAUAGAAGGGAUUAAUUGUAAGUAAUUGUAAAGUAAAAUGAUUGUAAAUAAGGGGCAAUUUUUUUUCAUUCAAAUGUAAAUAAAGUGAUUGUAAUUAAAUGGGUAAAUUUAAUUGUAAUUGUAAUUAACGUGUAAAUGAAAUGAUUGUAAAUAAGAUGAAAACAUUAUUGUAAGGUAUGGUGUAAAAUGCACAUUAAGUUUAAUAUAAUAAAUAUGGGUUAAAAAGAUUUUAUUUCUUUUUUUUUCUAGUGGAACUAUGAUUGAACUCACAGCAUAGAAUCUACCACGGAAGUCCCAUGAACGUUCCAUCCAUGGAAGCCCCAUGAACGUUCCACCCAUGGCCCAUCAGUGGAUAGCUGAUGGGAGAC